rnacentral:rRNA from 1 species
AGUGAACGCUGGCGGUAGGCCUAACACAUGCAAGUCGAACGGCAGCACAGUAAGAGCUUGCUCUUACGGGUGGCGAGUGGCGGACGGGUGAGGAAUACAUCGGAAUCUACUUUUUCGUGGGGGAUAACGUAGGGAAACUUACGCUAAUACCGCAUACGACCUACGGGUGAAAGCAGGGGAUCUUCGUACCUUGCGCGAUUGAAUGAGCCGAUGUCGGAUUAGCUAGUUGGCGGGGUAAAGGCCCACCAAGGCGACGAUCCGUAGCUGGUCUGAGAGGAUGAUCAGCCACACUGGAACUGAGACACGGUCCAGACUCCUACGGGAGGCAGCAGUGGGGAAUAUUGGACAGUGGGCGCAAGCCUGAUCCAGCCAUACCGCGUGGGUGAAGAAGGCCUUCGGGUUGUAAAGCCCUUUUGUUGGGAAAGAAAAGCAGCAGGUUAAGACCCCGCUGUUCUGACGGUACCCAAAGAAUAAGCACCGGCUAACUUCGU